UACGGAGGGUGCAAGCGUUAAUCGGAAUUACUGGGCGUAAAGCGCAUGUAGGUGGUUGGCUAAGCCAGCUGUGAAAUCCCCGGGCUCAACCUGGGACUUGCAGUUGGAACUGGCCAGCUAGAGUAGGGUAGAGGGGUGUGGAAUUCCAGGUGUAGCGGUGAAAUGCGUAGAUAUCUGGAGGAACAUCAGUGGCGAAGGCGACACCCUGGACUCAUACUGACACUGAGAUGCGAAAGCGUGGGGAGCAAACAGG
rnacentral:rRNA from 1 species